rnacentral:tRNA from 1 species
UCCCCCAUAGCUCAGUCGGUAAAGAAUCUGCCUGCAAUGCAGGUGACACAGGUUCGAUCCCUGGGUUGGGAA